CAAUAGCGUAUAUUUAAGUUGCUGCAGUUAAAAAGCUCGUAGUUGGAUUUCGGGUGGGAAUGGCCGGUCCGCCGUUUCGGUGUGCACUUGCUACGCCCACCUUGCUGCCGGGGACGUGCUCUUGAGUUCACGCUCGGGACACGGAGUCGGCGAGGUUACUUUGAGUAAAUUAGAGUGUUCAAAGCAGGCCUACGCUCUGAAUACAUUAGCAUGGAAUAGCACGAUAGGACUCUGGCCUAUCUUGUUGGUCUGUAGGACCGGAGUAAUGAUUAAGAGGGACAGUCGGGGGCACUCGUAUUUCAUUGUCAGAGGUGAAAUUCUUGGAUUUAUGAAAGACGAACUACUGCGAAAGCAUUUGCCAAGGAUGUUUUCAUUAA
rnacentral:rRNA from 1 species